UGGGGAAUAUUGGACAAUGGGCGGAAGCCUGAUCCAGCAAUGCCGCGUGCAGGAUGAAGGCCCUCGGGUUGUAAACUGCUUUUGUACGGAACGAAAAGCCUGGGGCUAAUAUCCCCGGGUCAUGACGGUACCGUAAGAAUAAGCACCGGCUAACUACGUG
rnacentral:rRNA from 1 species